UCCUCGUUAAGGGUGGCCUGCGGAGGGAUCAUUACCGAGUUUACAACUCCCAAACCCCUGUGAACAUACCAAUUGUUGCCUCGGCGGAUCAGCCCGCUCCCGGUAAAACGGGACGGCCCGCCAGAGGACCCCUAAACUCUGUUUCUAUAUGUAACUUCUGAGUAAAACCAUAAAUAAAUCAAAACUUUCAACAACGGAUCUCUUGGUUCUGGCAUCGAUGAAGAACGCAGCAAAAUGCGAUAAGUAAUGUGAAUUGCAGAAUUCAGUGAAUCAUCGAAUCUUUGAACGCACAUUGCGCCCGCCAGUAUUCUGGCGGGCAUGCCUGUUCGAGCGUCAUUUCAACCCUCAAGCCCAGCUUGGUGUUGGGACUCGCGAGUCAAAUCGCGUUCCCCAAAUUGAUUGGCGGUCACGUCGAGCUUCCAUAGCGUAGUAGUAAAACCCUCGUUACUGGUAAUCGUCGCGGCCACGCCGUUAAACCCCAACUUCUGAAUGUUGACCUCGGAUCAGUAGAUGCCGAUA
rnacentral:rRNA from 1 species